GACAGAGGGUGCAAACGUUGCUCGGAAUCACUGGGCGUAAAGGGCGUGUAGGCGGGUAGGUAAGUCGGGCGUGAAAUCCCUGGGCUCAACCCAGGAACUGCACUCGAAACUACUUUUCUUGAGUGCCGGAGAGGAAAGCGGAAUUCCUGGUGUAGAGGUGAAAUUCGUAGAUAUCAGGAAGAACACCAAUGGCGAAGGCAGCUCUCUGGGACGGUACUGACGCUGAGACGCGAAAGCGUGGGGAGCGAACAGG
rnacentral:rRNA from 1 species